UACGUAGGGUGCAGGCGUUAAUCGGAAUUACUGGGCGUAAAGCGUGCGCAGGCGGUUUCUUAAGUCAGAUGUGAAAGCCCCGGGCUUAACCUGGGAACUGCGUUUGAAACUGGGAGACUUGAGUGUGGCAGAGGGGGGUGGAAUUCCACGUGUAGCAGUGAAAUGCGUAGAGAUGUGGAGGAAUACCGAUGGCGAAGGCAGCCCCCUGGGUCGAUACUGACGCUCAUGCACGAAAGCGUGGGGAGCAAACAGG
rnacentral:rRNA from 1 species